rnacentral:lncRNA from 1 species
AGAUGAUAACAUAACAAAGUCGGAUUCAGCGUUUCAAGAUCUGUUAAUUUGGGCAAUAUUGGCAAACAGACCAAAACUAGCAACUAUUUUUUGGAUGAAAUGCAACAAUCAGCUAUGCAAGUAUUGACUAAGAAUUCUUUGUGUGUGUUGCAUUGUCGUUUGAUAUUUGUUGCACUUCCGUGUUUCUGUUGUUUUCCCGGAUUUGUUUUCUCUCAAUCGAUUUAUGAUUUUCGAACAGCGACAUACUUCUGUUGCUUUUAUUUACUAUAUGUGAGAGAGCGGUUAUAAAUAAAAGACAAGUAACACUUUGCAGUAAAAUGUGAAACACUAUGUAACAAGUAAAAUCACGAUAAUACUGAAUUACGAUGGAAAAAAAGGAAAGUAGUCAUUAUUAAUUUUCAUUGUACAAAAUUUUCAAAAUUUUUUAUAGAUUUAAUGCGAUCACCAUUUUAAGCAUUUUUUUGUCGAAAACAGAGAAAUAGAGAAAAGAUACAUAGAGUUAAAAAAUAAAUACGAACGAAAUAUAAAAUAAAAUUAAGUAAAGAUCUACAUCCGAAGUCUGCAUCAUUGGCAAUGAACAUGUUGCAAUGUAGAAAAAUAUGAUAUAAUGUAAUGUUGAUUCAUUAAUAUCAGUUUGAUACCAAUUUUCUUGGAUUUUGAUGGAACAAGGGAACCACGAAUUUAAACCUUAAGGGAAUUUCAAGUUUUCUAAAGGUGUGAAUGCAGAAUUUACCAAAACCGCAUAAUUAAAUAUCUCCGAAAUUGCAAGUGUUUCUGCAAUCCACGAAAAUUGAUUCACACGAAAAGAGGUAAACGAUACCAAAUGAACAUUUAAUUGAUUUAUAUAUUCUGAAUGAAUUUACGGGAUUUACUUCCUAACCGGUAUAGAUCAAAAUCUUUUGUAAUAUUGUAUUGUCAAUAUUCUUCGGAUUCUUACUUUAUUUGGCCUAUUUAAUUUUUUUUCGGGGUUAGUUGUUUGUAGACGACGCACAUUUUUUUAAAGCAUUGUAUCUAUGAUGAGUUUAUUUUGAACAGGGUAAAAUUCUGUUAGCUCGAAGCGUUAAACUGAGAGGAGAUGUAGGUUUACGUCAAUGUUUUGUGUUUUAGUCGCCUUAUCGUUUUCUCAUUUAAUUGUAGUGUGUGCUCUAUUAGCCAGUGCUGGUUUGCAAGAAAAUGGCAAUAUCAAAGUGAAAAGUGCAAGGGAUCAAUCAUUUUUAUGAAGAAAUGAUGCAA